UCCAGACUCCUACGGGAGGCAGCAGUGGGGAAUAUUGCACAAUGGGGGAAACCCUGAUGCAGCGACGCCGCGUGAGUGAAGAAGUAUUUCGGUAUGUAAAGCUCUAUCAGCAGGGAAGAAAGAGACGAAAGUCUUGUGACAGUACCUGACUAAGAAGCCCCGGCUAACUACGUGCCAGCAGCCGCGGUAAUACGUAGGGGGCAAGCGUUAUCCGGAUUUAUUGGGUUUAAAGGGUGCGUAGGCGGUCCGGAAGGUCGGCGGUAAAAGCCCGGGGCUCAACCCCGGCGAGCCGUCGGAACUGGGGGCCUUGAGUGCGGCGGAGGCAUGCGGAAUGCGCGGUGUAGCGGUGAAAUGCAUAGAUAUCGCGCAGAACCCCGAUUGCGAAGGCAGCGUACCGGCGCCCAACUGACGCUGAAGCACGAAGGCGUGGGUAUCGAACAGGAUUAGAUACCCUAGUA
rnacentral:rRNA from 1 species